rnacentral:lncRNA from 1 species
AUGAAAGGGUCUGCCUCAACAGAUGAAUCCGUGACUGCUGCGACUGAGGAAGGAAUCGAUGAAGUCAUUGCCAGCCGUCUUGUAUCCUGGCAGAAGAUCCCCCAAAAAGCAAGCAGCAUUUCUUUCCUCGGUAAGGCCCGGGGGAUGCCUCCUACCUUCCUUCUCGCAGUCAGCUAUGUAACUCAGAAAGGUUCAAGCUACUCUUUACAGCUUCUUGUGGUUGACGCUAAAAGCUCCUUGUGA